UACGUAGGGUGCGAGCGUUGUCCGGAAUUACUGGGCGUAAAGAGUUCGUAGGCGGUUUGUCGCGUCGUUCGUGAAAACUUGGGGCUUAACUCCAAGCGUGCGGGCGAUACGGGCAGACUUGAGUACUACAGGGGAGACUGGAAUUCCUGGUGUAGCGGUGAAAUGCGCAGAUAUCAGGAGGAACACCGGUGGCGAAGGCGGCAUCCUGGACCGAGAUUGACGCUGAACGGCGAAAGCUAGGGGAGCAAACGGGGAU
rnacentral:rRNA from 1 species